rnacentral:tRNA from 1 species
GCAGUGGUGAUUCAGUGGUAGAAUUCUUGCCUUCCAAGGCAGAGACCUGGGUUCGAUUCCCAGCCAAAGCA